AGUCAAUAGAUACCCUGGUAGUCCAUGCCGUAAACGAUGAUUGCUAGGUGUGGGGGUCGUGACCCUUCCGUGCCGGAGUUAAACAACAAUAAGCAAUCCACCUGGGGAGGUACGGCCGCAAGGUUGAAACUCAAAGGAAUUGACGGGGCCCGGCACAAGCAGUGGAGUAUGUGGUUUAAAUUCGAAGCAACGCGAAGAACCUUACCAGGUCUUGGCAUCCACCGAAUCCUGUAGAGAUACGGGAGUGCCCUUCGGGAACGGUGAGACAGGUGGUGCAUGGUUGUCGUCAGCUCGUGUCGUGAGAUGUUGGGUUAAGUCCCGCAACGAGCGCAACCCUUGUUGAAUAGUUGCUACGAAAGAGCACUCUAUUCAGACCGCCGUUGACAAAACCGGAGGAAGUGGGGAUGACGUCAAAUCAUCAUG
rnacentral:rRNA from 1 species